GAAGGUGUAGUUCAUUGGUAGAGUGUGUGCUUAGCAUGCAGGAGGUCCUAGGUUCAAUCCCCAGUACCUCCA
rnacentral:tRNA from 1 species